rnacentral:rRNA from 1 species
CAGCCGCCGCGGUAAUACGUAGGUGGCAAGCGUUGUCCGGUAUUAUUGGGCGUAAAGGGCUCGCAGGCGGUUUCUUAAGUCUGAUGUGAAAGCCCCCGGCUCAACCGGGGAGGGUCAUUGGAAACUGGGAGACUUGAGUGCAGAAGAGGAGAGUGGAAUUCCACGUGUAGCGGUGAAAUGCGUAGAGAUGUGGAGGAACACCAGUGGCGAAGGCGACUCUCUGGUCUGUAGCUGACGCUGAGGAGCGAAAGCGUGGGGAGCGAACAGGAUUAGAUACCCCCGUAGUCCCUGUCUCUUAUAC